rnacentral:rRNA from 1 species
UACGUAGGUGGCAAGCGUUGUUCGGAAUUAUUGGGCGUAAAGGGCGCGUAGGCGGUUUGUUAAGUCAGCUGUGAAAGCCCGGGGCUCAACCCCGGAGGGUCAGCUGAUACUGGCAGGCUAGAGUACAGAAGAGGUAACUGGAAUUCCCGGUGUAGCGGUGAAAUGCGUAGAUAUCGGGAGGAAUACCGAUGGCGAAGGCAGGUCUCUGGGCUAACACUGACGCUCAUGCACGAAAGCGUGGGGAGCAAACAGG